rnacentral:lncRNA from 1 species
CCCUGCCCUAUGAGCAGUUUCCUGAAGCAGGUUCUUGUAUAUUCCAGUCUCAUCCUUUCCAAAAAAAAAUCAGAAGAAUCACAACAGCAGUUCAAAGAUCUACAAAGAAAGCAGUAAUUAGAGAUUCUUCAUAAUUACCAGGACUCUUGCUGUCAAGGACCUGGAAGGACCUCUAGAGGAAAGAACAUUGAGAGCAACUUCAGCAGCUGAAUGUUCAGCCUGUCUCAAUGUUGGGUUGUAAGUUGGACUCUCAAACACUUCUCCAUUGAAGUUCACUGAAGCCUUGAACCUUGGUGCAUGAUCAGGACCUUCUCUUAUACAUACAUAUGAUGGAAGAUUGAAGCAGCUUCUCUGUGCUAGUUCCUGUAACUGGUUCUUGAACAUAUCUGGAUUCUUAUAUUAUUGUUAUAUAACCUGCCAUUCCAGGAAAAAGCAAAAACAAAGGAAUUCAAGGGAUGAGAAAGUCGUCUUCAUUUCCAUUGAUUGGAUGCAUAGAGAGAAAGGAUUGAAACUUGGUUUCACCUACUUGAGCUGAUGAAGAAAGAAACUCUCUUUUGGUUUACAGAAAGGAGCAGUGUUGUAAGUGUUGCUUUCUCAACAUGGGAAUUGAAAGGAACAAAGGGGGGGAGAAAGAGAAUGAAAUGGGGAGCAGUGAAAAAGGUCAAAUUGAAGAUUUUUUAAGAGCAAAGUUUGAAACUUUGUUUUAUUUUAUUCUUCUUCUUGUUUUUUUCUCCCUCAUUAUCAUUGAUUUUUAAGUAUUGACCCAUCAGAAAACAGGAAGACAUGUCAGUUAUUAAGUCGGAAUUGAAUGCGGCUUCAGCC